rnacentral:rRNA from 1 species
CCACGGAUAGCUUAGCUAGCGGCGAGUGAAGCGGCAAAAGCUCAAAUUUGAAAUCUGGCGCCUUCGGUGUCCGAGUUGUAAUUUGAAGAUUGUAACCUUGGGGUUGGCUCUUGUCUAUGUUUCUUGGAACAGGACGUCACAGAGGGUGAGAAUCCCGUGCGAUGAGAUGCCCAAUUCUAUGUAAGGUGCUUUCGAAGAGUCGAGUUGUUUGGGAAUGCAGCUCUAAGUGGGUGGUAAAUUCCAUCUAAAGCUAAAUAUUGGCGAGAGACCGAUAGCGAACAAGUACAGUGAUGGAAAGAUGAAAAGAACUUUGAAAAGAGAGUGAAAAAGUACGUGAAAUUGUUGAAAGGGAAGGGUUUGAGAUCAGACUCGAUAUUUUGUGAGCCUUGCCUUCGUGGCGGGGUGACCCGCAGCUAAUCGGUCCAGCAUCGGAUUGGGCGGUAGGAUAAUGGCGUAGGAAUGUGACUUUACUUCGAUGAAGUGUUAUAGCCUGCGUUGAUGCUGCCUGCCUAGACCGAGGACUGCGAUUUUAUCAAGGAUGCUGGCAUAAUGAUCCCAAACCGCCCGCUGAAAAACGGGAACAAGCUAUUUUUUAAA